UCAGACGAUGCGUCAUGCAUAUCAAUAAGCGGAGGAAAAGAAACUAACUAGGAUUCCCUUAGUAACGGCGAGUGAAGCGGGAAGAGCUCAAAUUUGAAAUCUUCAAGGUUUUACCUUGACGAAUUGUAGUUUAAAGAAGUGUUUUCUGUUGAAGCUUUGGUAAAAGUUCUUUGGAAUAGGACAUCAUAGAGGGUGAGAAUCCCGUAUUUGACCAUUAUUUUCAGCUGUGUGAUACACUUUCAAAGAGUCGGAUUGUUUGGGAAUGCAGUCCAAAAUGGGUGGUAAAUUUCAUCUAAAGCUAAAUAUUGGCGAGAGACCGAUAGCGAACAAGUACCGUGAGGGAAAGAUGAAAAGAACUUUGAAAAGAGAGUUAAACAGUACGUGAAAUUGUCAAAAGGGAAGCGUUUGACACCAGUGUUGUUUUCUCGAAAAUCAAUUAAAAAAAGUUGGAUUUUGUGUUGUAUUGACCUUAACAGCUUGCUUCACUCUUUUCCUGCUUUUUUUAAUGCACUUUUCGUUUAACAAGUCAACAUCAGUUUCUUUUGUUGUAAAGGGUCAUUGGAAGGUGGCUUUCUCUUCGGAGAAAGUGUUUAUAGCCUUUGAUCUCUGCAAUCGGAGAGACUGAGGUCUGCAGCGUAGAUCCUUCGGGGUAGAUACAUUUGUGCUAAGCUACAGCUUUUCAUAGACAACUUGUUGACUAUGUUUAGUCUUGUAGCUUACUCCGCUUAUGCUAUUUUACCUACGCUUAGGAUGUUGAUAUGCAUGACUGAUAU
rnacentral:rRNA from 1 species